rnacentral:rRNA from 1 species
CGUAGGGUGCAAGCAUUAUCCGGAGUGACUGGGCGUAAAAGAGUUGCGUAGGCGGUUAGUAAAGCGAAUAGUGAAAUCUGGUGGCUCAACCAUACAGACUAUUAUUCGAACUCACUAACUCGAGAAAUGGUAGAGGUAACUGGAAUUUCUAGUGUAGGAGUGAAAUCCGUAGAUAUUAGAAGGAACACCAAUGGCGUAGGCAGGUUACUGGACCAUUUCUGACGCUAAGGCACGAAAGCGUGGGGAGCGAACCGGAUU